GGAAUUUUCCGCAAUGGGCGAAAGCCUGACGGAGCAACGCCGCGUGAGGGAUGAAGGCCUCUGGGCUGUAAACCUCUUUUAUCAAGGAAGAAGAUCUGACGGUACUUGAUGAAUAAGCCACGGCUAAUUCCGUGCCAGCAGCCGCGGUAAUACGGGAGUGGCAAGCGUUAUCCGGAAUUAUUGGGCGUAAAGCGUCCGCAGGCGGUCUUGUAAGUCUGCUGUUAAAGCGUGGAGCUUAACUCCAUUUCGGCAGUGGAAACUGUAAGACUAGAGUGUGGUAGGGGCAGAGGGAAUUCCCGGUGUAGCAGUGAAAUGCGUAGAUAUCGGGAAGAACACCAGUGGCGAAGGCGCUCUGCUGGGCCAUAACUGACGCUCAUGGACGAAAGCCAGGGGAGCGAAAGGGAUUAGAUACCCCUGUAGUC
rnacentral:rRNA from 1 species